rnacentral:misc_RNA from 1 species
UUUCCGUAGGUGAACCUGCGGAAGGAUCAUUAAUUAAAUUAAGGCAUAUUCAUGUCUUUAAUUAAACCCACCUUUUACUGUGAAAUGUUUGAAAUGAUUCAGGUUUGAGGGAUGCUCUUGGCUCAUAGAGGGUAGAGACAAGAGAUGUUAACCAAACUGAAGUCAGGCUUAGGCCUGGUAUCCUCUACAUUUAUUAUAUACCUUGAAUUCAGAAUUAAAAAAUCGUAACAUGAGCCUUAAUAAGCUUAUAAAACAAAUUUUAACAACGGAUCUCUUGGUUCUCGCAUCGAUGAAGAACGCAGC